AUUGAACGCUGGCGGAAUGCUUUACACAUGCAAGUCGAACGGCAGCACGGGGGCAACCCUGGUGGCGAGUGGCGAACGGGUGAGUAAUACAUCGGAACGUGCCCAGUCGUGGGGGAUAACGUAGCGAAAGCUACGCUAAUACCGCAUACGAUCUAAGGAUGAAAGCGGGGGAUCGGAAGACCUCGCGCGAUUGGAGCGGCCGAUGGCAGAUUAGGUAGUUGGUGGGGUAAAGGCUCACCAAGCCGACGAUCUGUAGCUGGUCUGAGAGGACGACCAGCCACACUGGGACUGAGACACGGCCCAGACUCCUACGGGAGGCAGCAGUGGGGAAUUUUGGACAAUGGGCGCAAGCCUGAUCCAGCCAUUCCGUGUGCAGGAUGAAGGCCCUCGGGUUGUAAACUGCUUUUGUACAGAACGAAAAGGUUUCUACUAAUACUAGGAGCUCAUGACGGUACUGUAAGAAUAAGCACCGGCUAACUACGUGCCAGCCGCCGCCGUAA
rnacentral:rRNA from 1 species